rnacentral:rRNA from 1 species
ACGUAAUAGAUACCCUGGUAGUCCACGCCCUAAACGAUGUCUACUAGUUGUUGGUGGAGUAAAAUCCAUGAGUAAACGCAGCUAAACGCGUGAAGUAGACCGCCUGGGGAGUACGGUCGCAAGAUUAAAACUACAAAGGAAUUGACGGGGGCCCGCACAAGCGGUGGAUUAUGUGGAUUAAAUUCGAUGCAACGCGAAAAACCUUACCUGGCCUUGACAUGCCACUAACGAAGCAGAGAUGCAUUAGGUGCCCGUAAGGGAAAGUGGACACAGGUGCUGCAUGGCUGUCGUCAGCUCGUGUCGUGAGAUGUUGGGUUAAGUCCCGCAACGAGCGCAACCCUUGCCAUUAAUUGCCAUCAUUUAGUUGGGCACUUUAAUGGGACUGCCGGUGACAAACCGGAGGAAGUGGGGAUGACGUCAAGUCCUCAUGGCCCUUAUGGCCAGGGCUUCACACGUAAUACAAUGGUCGGUACAGAGAGUUGCCAACCCGCGAGGGGAGCUAAUCUCAGAAAGCCGAUCGUAGUCCGGAUUGUUCUCUGC